CGGCCACACUGGGACUGAGACACGGCCCAGACUCCUACGGGAGGCAGCAGUAGGGAAUCUUCCGCAAUGGACGAAAGUCUGACGGAGCAACGCCGCGUGAGUGAUGAAGGUUUUCGGAUCGUAAAGCUCUGUUGUUAGGGAAGAACAAGUACCGUUCGAAUAGGGCGGUACCUUGACGGUACCUAACCAGAAAGCCACGGCUAACUACGUGCCAGCAGCCGCGGUAAUACGUAGGUGGCAAGCGUUGUCCGGAAUUAUUGGGCGUAAAGGGCUCGCAGGCGGUUUCUUAAGUCUGAUGUGAAAGCCCCCGGCUCAACCGGGGAGGGUCAUUGGAAACUGGGGAACUUGAGUGCAGAAGAGGAGAGUGGAAUUCCACGUGUAGCGGUGAAAUGCGUAGAGAUGUGGAGGAACACCAGUGGCGAAGGCGACUCUCUGGUCUGUAACUGACGCUGAGGAGCGAAAGCGUGGGGAGCGAACAGGAUUAGAUACCCUGGUAGUCCACGCCGUAAACGAUGAGUGCUAAGUGUUAGGGGGUUUCCGCCCCUUAGUGCUGCAGCUAACGCAUUAAGCACUCCGCCUGGGGAGUACGGUCGCAAGACUGAAACUCAAAGGAAUUGACGGGGGCCCGCACAAGCGGUGGAGCAUGUGGUUUAAUUCGAAGCAACGCGAAGAACCUUACCAGGUCUUGACAUCCUCUGACAAUCCUAGAGAUAGGACGUCCCCUUCGGGGGCAGAGUGACAGGUGGUGCAUGGUUGUCGUCAGCUCGUGUCGUGAGAUGUUGGGUUAAGUCCCGCAACGAGCGCAACCCUUGAUCUUAGUUGCCAGCAUUCAGUUGGGCACUCUAAGGUGACUGCCGGUGACAAACCGGAGGAAGGUGGGGAUGACGUCAAAUCAUCAUGCCCCUUAUGACCUGGGCUACACACGUGCUACAAUGGACAGAACAAAGGGCAGCGAAACCCGCGAGGUUAAGCCAAUCCCACAAUCUGUUCUCAGUUCGGAUCGCAGUCUGCAACUCGACUGCGUGAAGCUGGAAUCGCUAGUAAUCGCGGAUCAGCAUGGCGCG
rnacentral:rRNA from 1 species